CAACUACUCCCUCUGUCCCAAAUUUCUUGUCUUAGAUUUGUCAAGAUACGGAUGUAUCUAAUACUAAAAUGUGACUUGAUACAUCAGUAUCUAGACAAAUCUAAGACAAGAAUUUUGGGAUGGAGGGAGUACUUU
rnacentral:pre_miRNA from 1 species